GAUUCAUUGCCUGCCAAGAACUCAUUUUGACUACUUUUCAAGAUUGAGUGCACACAUUGAAUUGAGCUCUAUGACCUUUAUAAUACAUAGGCAAAUAACUAAUCAAGCUUUUAUGUUUUACUAAAUUACUAUUUAGGCCCUGUGGUAUGUUGACAUUCAUUAGUCGGUCCUCGUAUUUUUAAAAUCGAAGUAAACAUCCAUGGAUUUAAGUUCUAUUAACAACUUGGUCCUUUUGUUAAUAUUUCUGGAGUAUUCAGUUAGUCAAAAAGAAUAAAGUGAACCAAAACCCUAAAAUAACAAUAAAACUAGGGUUGAGCACUAUUUGAUUCAAAAUGAAUUAUUGUAUUGAACUGCCUUAAUUCGAAAAUUCAGUUUGAUUUAUUAAAUAAUUUGGUUCAGCUUGGUUUUUAGAGACAAAAAAUCAGAAUAACCAAAACAAACCUUGGUUACUAGAUUCGUUCACCUCCUUUGGGUACCACAAUUUGGGUCUUGCGUUCCAAUUCGUUGAACGUUUGCGUUCCAAAUCACUAAGGGACACGAUCUGAGACGUUCAAAUUGUGCUUCCGGUGAGAAAGUAAAGGAAGAAAUGAAAAAAGAGAAGAAGAAAGAGAAAGGUAGA
rnacentral:misc_RNA from 1 species